rnacentral:rRNA from 1 species
UGGUAGGGAAGCGAAAGCAGACCGACCCUUCGGGAGCUGUUACAGGUGUUGCAUGGCUGUCGUCAGCUCGUGUCGUGAGAUGUUCGGUUAAGUCCGCUAACGAGCGCAACCCGCGUUGUGUGUUACAAGUGUCACACAAUACCGCCGGUAUUAAGUCGGAGGAAGGUGCGGAUGACGUCAAGUCAGCAUGACCUUUAUAUCCAGGGCUACACACACGCUACAAUGGUCUGUACAAUGGGUAGCCAAGCCGCGAGGCGGAGCCAAUCCUGAAAGCAGGCCUCAGUUCAGAUUGCAGUCUGCAACUCGACUGCAUGAAGCCGGAGUUGCUAGUAACCGCAGGUCAGCAAUACUGCGGUGAAUACGUUCCCGGGUCUU